GUUGAAAUGUUGACGGAGAAUAGUACGUUGUAAAUGUCUAACACAGAGAGAAAAAGAAUGCUGAGACUUUUUCUUAGACAGACAAGGGAACCUGCCUUCUGAGUUCGCCAUAUAAGGAGUUCUGCUCUGAAAUUGGCGCGGUUUUGGACCGUUAUCCAAUAAAGUGUAUAUAUAUGCUGGACGCGUCUAUAAAAUAAUAGAUGGCAGCUUAUAUAUAAACAAGGGUGGUACCACCACUAAACCUCGGUCCCUUUU
rnacentral:ncRNA from 1 species